rnacentral:sRNA from 1 species
AUUAAUCGCUUCCCGAGGAAAACUGCAUUAGACGCCCAUUUGGUGGCCCGGGAAUGGCCACUCGGAAUAAGAAGUUGAAAAGGAGCUCCUCUUUCUAAUCCUUGCCACGCCCAGUGAGGCGAGCGGAAGGAUCUCCUCCUCGUGAAUGGAAAUGGAAAUCCUGUGAGAGCUGGCCGAAUGGGUUUCUACUAAAUUUUUAAGUGUAUCAGCGCCCACACAAUUACGCAGCCAGCUGGCCACGCCCCCGAUUUAGGGAGGUAGCCAGGGGGGUGUGGCUGGGAAGGAUGAAGUGAAGAAUGGCAGGAUAGCAGGAUUGCAGGAUUGCAUUAUGAAUAUGCAGAGAAAAUAGUCAGCCUGGAUGAUUAGGUUGACACGUUCCGGGGAACGAUCCUUUCGAGUUUCGAGUCCUUUGUGGCAACACUGAAAGAAAUUAGAGGUGCAGUGCUUGGCACAGGACCUGACUGAAACAAAGGACGAAUGGAAAUCGGAGAGAGAAGGCGGCGCGAAGGCGGGCCGGGCGUGCCAACUGUGCGACGAGCGACAAACGCGAGCGUCCUUCCUGCAGGAUCGCAAAGGAGGAGGAGGACCAACAGCAGCAGGACAACACACAGGAUCAACACACACACACACACGCGUUGCAAUGACGAGGUGCAAACCGAAUGCUGCCUGGUGUCUGCUG